CGGAGAGGGCGCCUGAGAAACGGCUACCACUUCUAAGGAAGGCAGCAGGCGCGCAAAUUACCCAAUCCUGACUCAGGGAGGUAGUGACAAGAAAUAACAAUAAACCGGCUUAUGCCGGUUUAAUUGGAAUGAGUACAAUUUAAACAUCUUAACGAGGAACAAUUGGAGGGCAAGUCUGGUGCCAGCAGCCGCGGUAAUUCCAGCUCCGAUAGCGUAUACUAAAGUUGUUGCAAUUAAAAAGCUCGUAGUUGGAUUUCUGCGGGGGCGGGGCGGCCGAUCGCCACUGGCGAGCCGAGCUAGCACUUCCCCCGCAUCCUGCCGCGAACCGUGCUACCAUUAGCUUGGUGGCGCCGGGGAUCGGCUCGAUUACUUUGAGAAAAAUAGAGUGUUCAAAGCAGGCCACACGCCUUGAAUAAGUUAGCAUGGAAUAAUGACUAAGGACUUUGGUUCUUUUCGUUGGUGUUCGGGACUGAAGUAAUGAUUGAUAGGGACAGUUGGGGCGGUCCGUAUUCCAAAGCGAGAGGUGAAAUUCUUAGACCUUCGGAAGACGAACAGCUGCGAAAGCGUUCCGCAAGGAUGUUCCCUUUGAUCAAGAACGAAAGUUGGGGGAUCGAAGACGAUCAGAUACCGUCGUAGUCUCAACUAUAAACUAUACCAGCUAGGGAUCGGCCAACGUUUAACUUUAUCGACUUGGUCGGCACCUUAUGAGAAAUCAAAGCAUCUGGGUUCCGGGGGGGAGUAUGGUCGCAAGGCUGAAACUUAAAGGAAUUGACGGAAGGGCACCACCAGCCGUGGAGCCUGUGGCUUAAUUUGACUCAACACGGGAAAACUUACCAGGUCCAGACAUAGGAAGGAUUGACAGAUUGAUAGCUCUUUCUUGAUUCUGUGGGUGGUGGUGCAUGGCCGUUUUUAGUCGGUGGAUGUGAUCUGUCUGCUUAAUUGCGUUAACGGACGAGACCCCAGCCUGCUAAAUAGCGCGGCCGAGCUUUGCUCGGUGCGAGCUUCUUAGAGGGACCAUGAUGCGCGAUAGCACAAGGAAGUUUGGGGCAACAACAGGUCUGUGAUGCCCUUAGAUGUUCUGGGCCGCACACGGGCUACACUGGCGCCUGCAACGAGCAUAUCAGCUGGCCCGAGAGGGUCUUGGCUAAUCUUUGGAACCGGCGCCGUGCUUGGGAUUGACCAUUGCAAUUGUUGGUCAUGCAACGAGGAAUGCCUUGUAAACGCGAGUCAUCAGCUCGCAUUGAAUACGUCCCUGCCCUUUGUACACACCGCCCGUCGCUCCUACCGAUGAAUGUUCCGAUGAAAUUUUCGGAGAGCACCAGAGAACGGGGCUCCGCCUUGCAGAACUGGAGGCUCAAAGUCACUUAAAUCUGAACAUUUCGAGGAAGGAGAAGUCGUAACAAGGUAACC
rnacentral:rRNA from 1 species